rnacentral:tRNA from 1 species
GUUCAUACUAGCUCAGUCGGUAGAGCAUGAGACUCUGAAUCUUAGGGUUGUGGGUUCGAGCCCCACGUUGGGCA